UACGAAGGGUGCAAGCGUUAAUCGGAAUUACUGGGCGUAAAGGGCUCGUAGGCGGCCAACUAAGUCAGACGUGAAAUCCCUCGGCUUAACCGGGGAACUGCGUCUGAUACUGGCAGGCUAGAGUGCGGUAGAGGAUGGCGGAAUUCCCGGUGUAGCAGUGAAAUGCGUAGAGAUCGGGAGGAACAUCUGUGGCGAAGGCGGCCAUCUGGACCAGCACUGACACUGAGGCACGAAAGCGUGGGGAGCAAACAGG
rnacentral:rRNA from 1 species